CCUACGGGUGGCUGCAGUGGGGAAUAUUGGACAAUGGGCGCAAGCCUGAUCCAGCCAUGCCGCGUGUGUGAAGAAGGCCUUCGGGUUGUAAAGCACUUUCAGUGGGGAAGAAAGCCUUGGGGCUAAUACCCUCGAGGAAGGACAUCACCCACAGAAGAAGCACCGGCUAACUCCGUGCCAGCAGCCGCGGUAAUACGGAGGGUGCGAGCGUUAAUCGGAAUUACUGGGCGUAAAGCGCGCGUAGGCGGUCUUAUAAGCCGGUUGUGAAAGCCCCGGGCUCAACCUGGGAACGGCAUCCGGGACUGUCAGGCUAGAGUGCAGGAGAGGAAGGUAGAAUUCCCGGUGUAGCGGUGAAAUGCGUAGAGAUGGGGAGGAAUACCAGUGGCGAAGGCGGCCCUCUGGACUGACACUGACGCUGAGGUGCGAAAGCGUGGGUAGCAAACAGGAUUAGAUACCCCGGUAGUC
rnacentral:rRNA from 1 species